GCCUUUUAUUUGAUGAGAUCCAUUUCAUAAAAUCGACAUCAAAAUGAAAUUAACUUGCAUGUGUUAAAAGGUAAUAUGAAAAUAUAUUCAAGACCAUAACAAAAGCAUCAAAAAGAUCCCGCUCUUCUUAAAGAAUUCAAGUAAAUCUAAUCAGUCCAAAACUCAAAAUAUUUUAUUUUUAAAAUAUUUAACUAAAAAAAUAGGUAUCAUAUCUACUUCACCAAUAGAGUUCAUGGAAGAGGAAUGU
rnacentral:lncRNA from 1 species